CCGCGCGACGGGCUGCUGUCC
rnacentral:misc_RNA from 1 species